UACGGGGGGGGCAAGCGUUGUUCGGAAUUACUGGGCGUAAAGCGUGCGUAGGUGGUUCGUUAAGUCCGAUGUGAAAGCCCUGGGCUCAACCUGGGAAUGGCAUGGGAUACUGGCGGGCUAGAGUGCGGUAGAGGGCAGUGGAAUUCCCGGUGUAGCAGUGAAAUGCGUAGAGAUCGGGAGGAACAUCUGUGGCGAAGGCGACUGCCUGGACCAGCACUGACACUGAGGCACGAAAGCGUGGGGAGCAAACAGG
rnacentral:rRNA from 1 species